rnacentral:tRNA from 1 species
GCUCAUGUGAUGGAAUGGUAGACAUGCUCGACUUAAAAUCGAGUCCUUUUAGGGUAUCGGUUCAAGUCCGAUCAUGAGCA